GAGUUUGAUCAUGGCUCAGAUUGAACGCUGGCGGCAUGCCUUACACAUGCAAGUCGAACGGCAGCAUGAUCUAGCUUGCUAGAUUGAUGGCGAGUGGGCGAACGGGUGAGUAAUACAUCGGAACGUGCCCUGGUAGUGGGGGAUAACUAGUCGAAAGAUUAGCUAAUACCGCAUACGACCUGAGGGUGAAAGUGGGGGACCGCAAGGGACCUCAUGCUAUAGGAGCGGCCGAUGUCUGAUUAGCUAGUUGGUGGGUAAAGGCCCACCAAGGCGACGAUCAGUAGCUGGUCUGAGAGGACGAUCAGCCACACUGGGACUGAGACACGGCCCAGACUCCUACGGGAGGCAGCAGUGGGGAAUUUUGGACAAUGGGCG
rnacentral:rRNA from 1 species